AAAAAGGCAAACCUUAGGUUUCCGUGUCCAACUUUAACUGUCCGUCUUAUGUGAAUUUUUUUAAUAAUUCGUAUUUUCAUUGUUAUUAGAUGAUAAAACAUGAUUUAGAUGAACAUGAUUAAUAUUUUAUGCGUGACUUGUCUUUUUAAUUUUUUUCAUAAUUUUUUCAAAUAAGACGGACGAUCAAACGUUGGACACGAAAACCAGGGUUUUUCUUUUU
rfam:Oryza rufipogon genomic scaffold, chr06